rnacentral:rRNA from 1 species
GCUCAGGAUGAACGCUGGCGGCGUGCUUAACACAUGCAAGUCGAGCGAACAAAGCGAUGUGAAGCCUUCGGGUGGAUCAUCGCGGCGUGAGCGGCGGACGGGUGAGUAACACGUGGGUAACCUGCCCUGUACACUGGGAUAACGCACCGAAAGGUGUGCUAAUACCGGAUAAAGUGAACCUUUCGCAUGGAAGGAUCAUCAAAGCUCCGGCGGUACAGGAUGGACCCGCGUCCCAUUAGCUAGUUGGUGAGGUAACGGCUCACCAAGGCGACGAUGGGUAGCCGACCUGAGAGGGUGAUCGGCCACACUGGAACUGAGACACGGUCCAGACUCCUACGGGAGGCAGCAGUGGGGAAUAUUGCACAAUGGGCGAAAGCCUGAUGCAGCAACGCCGCGUGAGCGAUGAAGGCCUUCGGGUCGUAAAGCUCUGUCCUAAGGGAAGAUAAUGACGGUACCUUAGGAGGAAGCCCCGAGCGAAC